GGAAGAAUAACUUGUAUCAGGGUUUCAAAACUAGAGAGGAAGCUUAUGCUCCUUUUCUAGCUUACAGAUUAAGUAUUGUCUACUGAACUUCAUGAAUUUCAAUAGCCAAUGAUGUUGUAACUGAGGCCCAAAUUUGAUGUUGUAACUGGGCACAAUUAUGUGUGCCUCAUGUUUAUUUUUCUUCACCUAUACAUGCUUGAGUUGCAAUGAUGUGCAUUGUUGCAUCUUGAUCAUGGGCCUGGCUGAGUUUU
rnacentral:lncRNA from 1 species